rnacentral:rRNA from 1 species
UUGAACGCUGGCGGCAUGCUUUACACAUGCAAGUCGAACGGUAACAGGCCUUCGGGUGCUGACGAGUGGCGAACGGGUGAGUAAUGCAUCGGAACGUGCCCAGAGGUGGGGGAUAACGCAGCGAAAGCUGUGCUAAUACCGCAUGUGAUCUGAGGAUGAAAGCGGGGGACCAAGCAGCAAUGUUUGGCCUCGCGCCUCUGGAGCGGCCGAUGUCAGAUUAGGUAGUUGGUGGGGUAAAGGCCUACCAAGCCGACGAUCUGUAGCUGGUCUGAGAGGACGACCAGCCACACUGGGAGUGAGACACGGCCCAGACUCCUACGGGAGGCAGCGGUGGGGAAUUUUGGACAAAGGGCGAAAGCCUGAUCCAGCAAUGCCGCGUGCGGGAAGAAGGCCUUCGGGUUGUAAACCGCUUUUGUACGGAACGAAAAGGCUCUGGCUAAUACCUGGGGCUGAUGACGGUACCAUAAGAAUAAGCACCGGCUAACUACGUG